rnacentral:rRNA from 1 species
CUUGGUCAUUUAGAGGAAGUAAAAGUCGUAACAAGGUUUCCGUAGGUGAACCUGCGGAAGGAUCAUUACAGAGUUCAUGCCCUUCGGGGUAGAUCUCCCACCCUUGUGUAUCAUUAUAGAAUGUUGCUUUGGCGGGCUGCAAGCCUGGCUCGCCUGGAUUUACGUCCGGCGUGCCCGCCAGAGGACCCCUAAACUCUUAAUGUUAGUGUCGUCUGAGUACUAUUAAAUAGUUAAAACUUUCAACAACGGAUCUCUUGGUUCUGGCAUCGAUGAAGAACGCAGCGAAAUGCGAUAAGUAAUGUGAAUUGCAGAAUUCAGUGAAUCAUCGAAUCUUUGAACGCACAUUGCGCCCCUUGGUAUUCCGGGGGGUAUGCCUGUUCGAGCGUCAUUGCAACCCUCAAGCAUUGCUUGGUAUUGGAUGCCACUGCUGUGGUGCAUCUCAAAAGUAUUGGCGGUGGCAUUCAGCUUCUAGCGUAGUAAAUCUUCUCGCCUUGGAGUUUGAGUGUCUAACUGCCAGAACCCCUAAAUUUAUCAAAGGUUGACCUCGGAUCAGGUAGGGAUACCCGCUGAACUUAAGCAUAUCAAUAAGCGGAGGA